UCCUCCAGGGACCUGCUUUUCAGUUAGAGGAUAUGAACCAUACCCACUGCAGCAGAGAAAUUGCUGAGUGAAAAGAGAGACGUUCCAUGGACAGUCAUGGCUUUUGCUGGCAGCACUUUAUUGUGUCACAUGCCUCACAGUGUAAUGGUGUCAAAAUAUGGGCACAGAGAGAAGAAAAGCAUUAAAUAGACCGACAUGAAGCACGGAGUAGCUGUGGUUUUCACACAGAAUGAGCAGAGGCAGAUGCUGCUACAACCUAGAUGAUGUUUUCUGUCAUGUCAUUUCCAUGCAUUGCGUGAGUACCCCCUGCCACUUCCCUCAUUGUCUGGAAUCUCACUGUUUUUGAAGAGUCCCAGAAACCAAGGAGAGUGAAUGAAGAAACAGGUGCUUACUUGAAGAUAAAGGGAAAGUUUAUCUAGAAAGUUUUUGAUAACUGGUCUGCACAGCUUUACAUAAGCCACAACAUCAAAGAAUGUAGAGCUAUAGAGGACCGCAAGGGGCUCUCUUAAUUCCUGAAGCAGCAUCAGAUCACAUAACUGACUGCUCAACGUCAUCCAGCACGUAGUCAUCUACAGAGGUGCCUCUUACUGACUCUGAAGUUUUUCCACAGGUAACUCACCUGCUCUAAGAGGUGACUGACAACCUGUCCCUAAAAAAUUCCCUUGAUAUAAUUACCGUAAGUCCCUUGUUAGACCUGUCCAAUUUCAUAGUAGCAUAAUAGAGUUAAUGAUGUCAUCAUUACUCUAAUAUCAUGCCCUGAGUAUACUUGGCAAUUUAAAGUAUGAAAGCCAUAAUCAAGAAGCUGCAUUUAAGGUAGAAGCAUUUUCAUUCCUUUAAGUCAGUAAGUGCUUUUUGCCCAGGUUUAUUAAUUCUUUUUUUGAGAGUAUUUUCUAGGAAGACACAGAAUUCUUUUAUCUGACUUCUCAGCACCAGCUGUGCUGGAUCCUAAAUUUCUUUUGCAUACCUGGCCUCCGUGAACUUUCUGAUGAGCCCACACAUCAAGCUCUGGAAAGGAUCGUGGUUCUACAGAUAAUGUCUUGGUGAAGCUUGUGGAAAUAAGCACUCACUGAAUCGUGGUACACAAUUCAACUUGUCUAUAUUUAUACACCUUUUGGUUGAUUCUUCUCCAGACAAUUAGAUAACCAUUUUUAUUUGCACAGAUCACCAUUUUUAUUUGUUUCCUAGUUUUCUUUGGUAAUACUUAUGUCCCCAGUGCAAAUGAAAACACAGAAGAGAGUACUUUUCUAACCUUACUUGUCAAAAGAUUUCUUAAAUGCAGAUGUUGGCUUUUUCCUGCAGAAAAAGCUAAGCCAAUAAAGUGGCAUUGAAGCACUGUGAGAAAGAAAACUGUAUAAAUACAUAAAUAAGAAUAUAAUAUUACACCACUAAUAUUCAGGUACCACAAAAAUAUUUAAUGCUGUAGCAAAGUAUUUGAAAUAUGUCAUAGGACACCUACCAAAAGAUUGCUUGGCAACGAACCAGCAAAAGAUAGACAACUAAACUUGCAUGCCCAUUCAAAAGGUAAUAAAAUUAGAUCUUUUGAAUGGAAAAAUAUUUUAUUAGUGUAUUUCUCUACAGAGAAUAUGAAAUUAAUCUUAAGAGAGACACAAAAGCUAUAUAGAUGAACGUGAUCUCUUCAGACAAAAUAAUGACUUGAAAGUGAAGAUUGUGGGAAUAGGUUAUGUUCCUUAUUCUAGAAGAACUAUGCAUGUUAUUCCAACAUUUGUUUUCCCUUUGAAUUACCUGGGUUUCAAUACAAUGACUUAGAGAAAAAAAGUGUUUCCAUUGGACUUGAGGAACUGUAUCAGAUUUUGUAUUGGCAUUUUGCUUAGCCUCAGCCUGUUAGACUUUCAAAUAGGAAUAAAUUUCUUUCUUAUUUUUUUCAAGACAGAACACAAUUUUUUUUAGUGAUAAAUUCUUGCAGAAAUAGUGGUUUUAUGCAAUACCAUUUCAAAAGGUGCAAAUUGUUUGGAUGGUAUUUGUGAAAACAGACUAUACGUUAUGUCAAGAUUCAUACACGGCUUUUAAGUGUCAUUUUGGGGUUUUUUUGCUUGACAGAUUAUCCUAGCUCUGAAGAAUAUCUAGAUUGUAUUGUAGCAUGCAGACAGUCAGUGAAACAGGAUUGUUUGUCUCACUUUACCAAAAGACAUUUUAAUAAAUUUCUGGAUGAACGUUGUCUUCGUA